GAGHUUUGAAAUAUGGGGHUGAAGCUGGCCUUACGAGGCAUGHGCUCGCCCCUGCUCAUCCACUCUACACCUGUGCACUUACUGUAGGCUUCAGGAGCUUCUCGGGCUUUCAUUAGCUCGGGHUGUAACUGAGCUUACGHUUACUACAAACAUCAUAAAGHAUCAGAAUGHGHAUUGCGAUAAACGCAUCUAUAU
rnacentral:misc_RNA from 1 species